AACGCACAUUGCACCCCCUGGUAUUCCGGGGGGUAUGCCUGUCCGAGCGUCAUUGCUGCCCUCAAGCACGGCUUGUGUGUUGGGUCGUCGUCCCCCCGGGGACGGGCCCGAAAGGCAGCGGCGGCACCGCGUCCGGUCCUCGAGCGUAUGGGGCUUUGUCACCCGCUCUUGUAGGCCCGGCCGGCGCUGGCCGACGCUGAAAAGCAACCAACUAUUUCUCCAGGUUGACCUCGGAUCAGGUAGGGAUACCCGCUGAACUUAA
rnacentral:misc_RNA from 1 species